UAAAGAAUUAAACAUCUUUUUCAAUAUUUGUAUAUUGUCAUUUCUUUAAUUUCGUCUCUCCCUCCUCUCUCUAAACACCCAGAGACGAACAAACCAAACCCCAUUUCCCUCAAACCCUCUCCAAUCACUGCCGCCCUACAAUCAACACCAGCCAUCGUCGUUUUACAUCAUCAUUUUUCAAGAUCAAUUUCUGAUUUGGGGCCUCAUCAAGUCGGAUGUUUCCGGUGAUCGAUCUUUUUGGAUCUUCUAUACGUGAGGUACAUAGGUUCAUAUUGCAACAUUCGAUCUUUUUGGAUCUUUUUAUGAACAGCAAGAGAAAAAAGUGGGAAAAUAUGCAUUUGAAAAAAGCUUUUAUUUGGGUGAGGGUACGUGUUACUCUAUAGGAUCAGAAAGAAGAUUUUAGUGACCAUGGCACUCGAGUGGUUUGUUCUUGAACAACCUAUUAAUACGAUAAACCAAUCAAGCCUUGAACCAGGAGUUUAGAUUGUGGCCUAUAUUCAACAUAGUUAUUAGCCUUAACCCAUUGUAAACUGAAAUCCCGUCACCAUGUGUGGGUUCCUUGCUAUACCAUAUCAUAUAUUUGUAAUUAAGUUUUGAAUCGUUAGCUUGACAACGUGGCUUGGUGUGAAAAAUUGGUUAAUGUGUAUCUUUGUUUUAGCACCGGCUAAAGAAGCAGGUUCAAGGUAUAUAUUAUUUAGAGUUGACACCGGCGCAUCGCGCGGGCAUAUGACUCGUAACCAUAGAAGCAUGAUGUCGUUAUUUAUAGGAAGCAACUUGUGGACAAGCAGACUCUUAGCCUCAUACUGUGGUAUGCUAUUGGUGGGACUUUAUGAAUGAUUGAAGGAACAAGUUUGUGGUCAAGUCGUCAAGAUGUGAUGUCGUGGAUGUCAUCUGUCGUGCUGUUAAGAGAGAUACCCAAAUUCAAUUCAUUUUCAAUUUUGUAUAAUCUAUCAUUCAAUAUUUAGUGAAUACUUAUGGAUGUUCAAGAUACAAUUUUUUGGCAAUAACAUCACGAAGGUCGAGUAUGUUAGUAUUUUUUGACA